AUUGAACGCUGGCGGCAGGCCUAACACAUGCAAGUCGAGCGAGCGGCGGACGGGUGAGUAAUGUAUGGUGAUCUGCCCGAUAGAGGGGAAUAACUACUGGAAACCGUGGCUAAUACCGCAUACUAUCGGAUGAACCCCUAUGGGAUUAUCUAGUAGGUGGGGUAAAGGCUCACCUAGGCGACGAUCGCUAGCUGGUCUGAGAGGAUGAUCCGACACACUGGGACUGAGAAUCGGCCGAGACUCCUACGGGAGGGAGCAGUGGGGAAGAUUGCACAAUGGGCGCAAGUCUGAUGCAGCCAUGCCGCGGGUAUGAAGAAGGCCUUAGGUUUGUAAAGUACUUUCAGCGGGGAGGCGUUACCCGCAGAAGAAGCACCGGCUAACUCCGUGCCAGCAGCCGCGGUAAUAC
rnacentral:rRNA from 1 species